UACGUAGGUGGCAAGCGUUGUCCGGAUUUACUGGGCGUAAAGAGCGCGCAGGCGGUCGUUCAAGUCGCGUGUGAAAGCCCCCGGCUCAACUGGGGAGGGUCACGCGAUACUGAUCGACUCGAAGGCAGGAGAGGGUAGUGGAAUUCCCGGUGUAGUGGUGAAAUGCGUAGAUAUCAGGAGGAACACCGGUGGCGAAGGCGGGACUCUGGGCCGAUACUGACGCUGAGGAGCGAAAGCGUGGGGAGCGAACAGG
rnacentral:rRNA from 1 species